GACGAACGCUGGCGGCGUGCUUAACACAUGCAAGUCGAACGGAAAGGCCCUGCUUUUGUGGGGUGCUCGAGUGGCGAACGGGUGAGUAACACGUGAGUAACCUGCCCUUGACUUUGGGAUAACUUCAGGAAACUGGGGCUAAUACCGGAUAGGAGCUCCUGCUGCAUGGUGGGGGUUGGAAAGCUUCGGCGGUUGGGGAUGGACUCGCGGCUUAUCAGCUUGUUGGUGGGGUAGUGGCUUACCAAGGCUUUGACGGGUAGCCGGCCUGAGAGGGUGACCGGCCACAUUGGGUCUGAGAUACGGCCCAGACUCCUACGGGAGGCAGCAGUGGGGAAUAUUGCACAAUGGGCGGAAGCCUGAUGCAGCAACGCCGCGUGCGGGAUGACGGCCUUCGGGUUGUAAACCGCUUUCGCCUGUGACGAAGCGUGAGUGACGGUAAUGGGUAAAGAAGCACCGGCUAACUACGUG
rnacentral:rRNA from 1 species